GUUAAAUUUUGAAGUUUAAAUAAAGUGGCUUAAGUUAUUGAGGUAAAUAAUGUAUGUUUCAACUAAUGUUGUGUCUUUGUUUAUUUUUUUUUUAUUAACUGAUAUGUGUUAACCAUGUCAAUUAACUGUUUUUUUAAGAUGAAAACUGAAUUGUUAGAGGCUUAACCAGCAUGAAGAAUAACACAUCUGUUUAAAUUAUUUUAAAUAAGGCUGACCAUGUUCAUUGAAAAUACUUGCACAUUUAAGUCGUUGUCCAGUGAUCAUUGUGUAUGCAAACAGGUUGAUUAUUAUCAACGAGCUCACCAAGAUCAACAAAUCUAAUAAAGGUAAUUUGAUUUGUUAGGCAAAUAUUCCCGACAGUUUCAAGUCCCAUACAUAUAUCCCAGCAUGUUACCAUCAAUGUACUAAGUUACAAUAUAAAAUACUCGUGCAUGUAAUAGUUCUUAAAGGUACAAGGAUUAUAAUUUAGUAUGCCAGACGCGCUUUUAUCUACUGGGCUGGUGAUACCCUCGGAGAUGCACUAGUAUUUAAUUUAGCGUAUGUCAUCAUUUUUGUCAUUUAAUGACAAUUGUUCUAGUUUCAUAAGGUGCACUAUAUAUAUAUAUAUAUAUAUAUAUAUAUAUAUAUACAACUCGUCUAAACAUCAACCCAACAAUGUUAGAUCUGUAAAUUUGCUUUCGCAAAUUUUUGGUUCUUCCCUCACCGGGAUUCGAACCCAUGCUACUGUGAUAUCGUGACACCAAAUCGCCUGCACUGCAGCCGUCCCGCUAGACCACACGACCACCUGGGCUCUCUAAAAAAAGAGCUUUCGGUGGGCAUGUGUUACCUUUCCACGUCAGUUUUAAUCUAGCGGCGUACUACAGUACAUGAUAUAUAAGGCAUGAAGAUGUUAUUGUUACAGAUCAGCUAAAUUAUCUAUAGUAAAGGAUCCUACAAAUUAAUGUAAUAUACAGUCACAGAAAAUAAUUAUAUUCAUAAGUACGUCUGAGUCAGUGACAACCCUACAACAGAUGUAUCCAUCGGAUCGCCAUCAAUGAUGGUGAUACAUGGCUGUGUACGUAAUGUAUAUAUACAACUCGUCUAAACAUCAACCCAACAAUGUUAGAUCUGUAAAUUUGCUUUCGCAAAUUUUUGGUUCUUCCCUCGCCGGGAUUCGAACCCAUGCUACUGUGAUAUCGUGACACCAAAUAUAGUUAUCUGCGUUUUUAAAAUCACGUUAUUGACUUGUAUCUGAAACGGAAACAAACUCCUUAUAUGGAAAUAAUUAACCUUUUUUAAUAAUGUUGCAUAACAGAACAAAUGAUUUUUAUUUUCCUUGUUUCCUGUAAUUCAUAAAAUUGUUCACAAUCAUUUGAACGGUAAGUUUGGUUUUUAAUUUUUCCAAUUCCAUAAAUCUGAAGUAUUUAAAAUGAAUAUACAUUUAGGAGGGGCGUAAAGGGGUAUCUGCAUGGAAGAACGUGAAAUAAAAUUGCCGUUUCACAAUGAACGAACAAUUAAAAACUUCUUGCACGUUCAUCUUUUUACCGAUUUCAUGAAACACGGUGAAUAACGAACCAUUUUCACGGCUGCUCGUGAAAUAAAAAUGGCAAAACACGUUUCACGUUUUUUACCACCCUCAUUAAGUACAAAGGAUAACAAUUCAACCAUGUUUUAGUUGGGGCAAUUGGAUCAAAGUGUUAGCUGAUAUUAAAGUUAUUCAAGUUUAUUUUUCAACAGACUUUUGUACAACGAUGACUUAAUAUAAUUUAGUUAUGUAUAACAAUCUUAGUUUCUCAGAACAAUUAUUAUGUGAAAUUUUCAAAUAUUUGGACUUUUAUGGAGUAAAAAUUUAAAAUGUAUUAUGCAUACUUACACGAAAUGAUUUGGUUUUUAACGAUCGUCAAUGAAUUAUAUUACAUCUGGUAAGUUAAUUUUUAAGGGCAUUAGCUGUCAAAUUUAUUUAAACCGAAUUGAUCAAAAUUCUCCCAUUUGAUUUAUACAUACUGAAAAGUAUAUCUAAAUUAGACAAAGUCUAAAAUAAACAACUAACAAUGCAUGGACUGGAUAAUAUGUAUCAGGCUUUCUUGUGUUUUAGUCUAGACGACCUCUUAUGACCUCCGACGACUGCUGACAUGUUCAAGUGGAUUUUUUUUUUCAAAAUAUGCCCUUUAUAUUUAGUUUGUGAACCAAGGCUCUGUGUUGAAUACAGUACUUUGACUUAUAAUGGUUUACUUUUAUAAACUGUGACUUGGAUGGAGAGUUGUCUCAUUUACACUCAUACCACAUCUUCUUAUAACUAAUCACCGUUUUUCUUUUUCUUGUUCAAAAUAACAUAUUAUUGGGAAAUUAUAUAUGGUUACACUGCAUGCAUUUUGAAAUGUAAAAUGAAUGUUUAUCUUCGUGAUCUAUUUCUGUUUUCUUUUUAGACUCGAUUUAAUGAGAGAGUUAUCAUGAAUGUUUCGGAAGCACCAAUUACUUUGGAGACCUUGAAUACUGAGGAAUUGAUGGAACGUAUUCCGACAAUAGUUUAUUUAUCAUUGGUCAUGGUUAUUGGGAUACCUGGGAAUACUUUGGUAAUUCUGAUAUAUUUCGGAUCGCUAUGGAAACUCGAAGGUGCACACUGGACUUUUAUUCGUACCAUUACUAUUGUAGAUUUACUUAUGUGCAUAAUAAAUAUCCCUUUUGAAUUUUACCAACAGACACACCAGUUAACAUUUUAUGCGGAAAGCGCAUGUAGGUCGUUCAAAGUAAUUAGUGUUCAUCUAUCUGUAAUGGCUUCACUGCUGCUAGUGAUGAUGUCCGCUAAUAGACUGUAUAGAAUAUGGUGGCCAUUAAAAGUUCCCUUAUCGUCACGUCAAGCUUUUGUUAGUGUCAUUAUUCUUGGGAUCGUUGUAACAACAGUUUCCUGGCCUGAAGGUAUAUUAAGUGGAAUAAACCUAAAACAACGAAAAGACAAUAUAACUGGGUAUGACUGCGGUAUAGCUGACAUAUAUAAGCGCAGUACACACCCCUUUGCUUACAGUUUUGUGUUGCUUGUAGGGUUUAUAUUAUGUGUCUCUUCAUUAAUAACGAUAUAUGCGAUCAUAUGGAAUAAACUCAGAAGAAUAGGAAAUUUCAGGUCAACAA
rnacentral:lncRNA from 1 species